rnacentral:rRNA from 1 species
UACGUAGGGUCCAAGCGUUAUCCGGAAUCACUGGGCGUAAAGCGUGCGUAGGUGGACUUUUAAGUGCAAUGCGAAAUCCUGUGGCUCAACCAUAUGGACUGUAUUGCAUACUGGAAGUCUGGAGGACAUGAGAGGCAAGUGGAAUUACCGGUGUAGCAGUGAAAUGCGUAGAUAUCGAGAGGAACACCUGCGGCGAAGGCGGGUUGCUGGGCUGACACUGACGCUGAUGCGCGAAAGCCAGGGGAGCGAACGGG